rnacentral:pre_miRNA from 1 species
AAAGUACUCCCUCCGUCCCAAAAUUCUUGUCUUAGAUUUGUCUAAAUACGGACGUAUCAAGUCACAUUUUAGUAUUAGAUACAUUCGUAUCUAGACAAAUCUAAGACAAGAAUUUUGGGACAGAGUGAUAUGAA